rnacentral:tRNA from 2 species
GGAGGGGUGCCGGAGUGGUCGAUCGGGCUCGACUCGAAAUCGAGUGUGCCUUCUGGGUACCGUGGGUUCGAAUCCCACCCCCUCCG